rnacentral:lncRNA from 1 species
UGCUGUCAACUGGCGACGAUGGUUGUACAUUCGCAGGGGUGCUGCCAAUUGGCGACGAUAGGUUUGCGUUCGCGGGGGUGCUCUCAACUGGCGACGAUAGUUGUGCAAUUCCAGGGGUGCUAUCAAUUGGCGACGAUGGUUGUGCAUUCCCAGGUGUGCUAUCAAUUGGCGAUGAUGGAUGUGCAUUCGCGGGGGUGCUGCCAAUUGGCGACGAAGGUUGUGCAUUCGCGGGGGUGCUGCCAAUUGGUGACGAAGGUUGUGCAUUGGCGGGGGUGCUCUCAACAGACGUCGAUUUUGCCCAAAGCCCAGUUGUGGACGGAAUGAUAUGGGCGGGAGUGCCAUGGGGAAUGGCAUUGACCGGUGUGACGAAUCUUGUGGCGAGAAUUCGACCUUCGGCCGCACG